GACGUAGGAGGCAAGCGUUGUCCGGAUUUACUGGGCGUAAAGAGCUCGUAGGCGGUUUGUCGCGUCGGCUGUGAAAACCUGGGGCUCAACCCCGGGCCUGCAGCCGAUACGGGCAAGCUAGAGUUCGGUAGGGGAGACUGGAAUUCCUGGUGUAGCGGUGAAAUGCGUAGAUAUUGGGAGGAACACCAGUGGCGAAGGCGGCUCACUGGACCGGUACUGACGCUGAUGCGCGAAAGCUAGGGGAGCAAACAGG
rnacentral:rRNA from 1 species